GACAUCAGGGAGCUGCAUAGGGUACAGGUGCCCAGUGCUUGGUGGGGUCUGGUAGAUUCACUGUCUGGCAUGUUACUGGGAGGAGUCCCCCUACUGAAAUGAUGGCAGAGACUCUGCUUAUUCCAGACAGACAGGAAUCUGAGAGAGGGUACAAAGCCCCAGAUCCCACACAGGUGCACUAACAUGCCAGAGGACUGCUCCUGCAGUGGGAUAGAGCGACUGCUCCUGCCCGGCCAGCCCCAAUCCUAGCCUGGGCACAGGGCUGGGCAGAUGGUGGGUGACUGCAUGCAUCAGAGUCUGAAUGCUGCUUCUGGAGCACUGUCAGUGUAAGAACAAAUAGUUCAGGUGCAGCAGGUUAGAGCCAGUGCUGGUCUCAUUGCAGAUUCUGGGAAACAGAAUUAAAGUUGAGUGGUGUGCUGCAAUUCUAAAGAUUGAAAUGUGUGAGUGGAGUGAAGUGAAGGAGACCAUCUAUGGCUCAAGACUUUCUCAUUGUUAGAUGAUGUGUACACAAACAGAACAGUGGGAUCAGCCGCUUGUGCAGGGGCUAAGUCAGUAGGCUUCACCCUUCUAUCAGCUUCAGCCAUGUUCCAGUGAUGUCCUCCUCUCAGAGACUGCAGAAUGUAAAGGCUUUAGUAGUACUUCAAAGGCAGAGUCUUCCAUCAACCUCCUCUCUGAAAAUGAAUGUUAGCGCCAGAUAAGAAACUAUAGUCUGCUUUCAAGAAGGUUACAAGAAAACUGCAUCUUGCAUUACUAAUCCUUUAUCUUUCAUGUUAACAAAAAGAUUAC